UAGGGAAUCUUCGGCAAUGGACGAAAGUCUGACCGAGCAACGCCGCGUGAGUGAAGAAGGUUUUCGGAUCGUAAAACUCUGUUGUUAGAGAAGAACAAGGACGUUAGUAACUGAACGUCCCCUGAUGGUAUCUAACCAGAAAGCCACGGCUAACUACGUGCCAGCAGCCGCGGUAAUACGUAGGUGGCAAGCGUUGUCCGGAUUUAUUGGGCGUAAAGCGAGCGCAGGCGGUUUCUUAAGUCUGAUGUGAAAGCCCCCGGCUCAACCGGGGAGGGUCAUUGGAAACUUGGAGACUUGAGUGCAGAAGAGGAGAGUGGAAUUCCAUGUGUAGCGGUGAAAUGCGUAGAUAUAUGGAGGAACUCCAUUGGCGAAGGCGGCUCUCUGGUCUGUAACUGACGCUGAGGCUCGAAAGCGUGGGGAGCAAACAGG
rnacentral:rRNA from 1 species